rnacentral:tRNA from 1 species
UAGCUCAGUUGGUAAAGAAUCUGCCUGCAAUGCAGAAGACCCAGGUUCCGUUCCUGG